UGGGGAUCAAAGGUAGAUUAAAAAGACUGAUUUAUGGUGAUGAUACUACAGUAUUACCUGCUGGUAUAACAACAGUGCUCUUCUGUCUGAUGCUAUUUUCAUCUGUUACUAUCACUAUGGUGUUUUCGUUUCUUCCACACUUAGUGACGUCAUUUGGUAUUGGUGAAACUGAAAGAGGUUACUACGCUGGUUUAAUUGGAUCCGCGUUAUUUGCGGGUAGAGCUUUAUGCAGGUAUAACUUGAAAUUUUUAACUACAGGAAAGUCUAACAUGAACUAACGGUGUGGAGUUUAUAGUAACCCAAGCCAAGUGUACAAAUACUUUAUCUUACGCGAAAUAAGUUUCUUUUUGAAAAUUCAUGUAGGGAAGUUAAA